rnacentral:rRNA from 1 species
GAAGGUGUACUGUGAGGUAUGCUGGAGGUAUCAGAAGUGCGAAUGCUGACAUAAGUAACGAUAAAGCGGGUGAAAAGCCCGCUCGCCGGAAGACCAAGGGUUCCUGUCCAACGUUAAUCGGGGCAGGGUGAGUCGACCCCUAAGGCGAGGCCGAAAGGCGUAGUCGAUGGGAAACAGGUUAAUAUUCCUGUACUUGGUGUUACUGCGAAGGGGGGACGGAGAAGGCUAUGUUGGCCGGGCGACGGUUGUCCCGGUUUAAGCGUGUAGGCUGAUUUUCCAGGCAAAUCCGGAAAAUCAAGGCUGAGGCGUGAUGACGAGGCACUACGGUGCUGAAGCAACAAAUGCCCUGCUUCCAGGAAAAGCCUCUAAGCAUCAGGUAACAUCAAAUCGUACCCCAAACCGACACAGGUGGUCAGGUAGAGAAUACCAAGGCGCUUGAGAGAACUCGGGUGAAGGAACUAGGCAAAAUGGUGCCGUAACUUCGGGAGAAGGCACGCUGAUAUGUAGGUGAAGUCCCUCGCGGAUGGAGCUGAAAUCAGUCGAAGAUACCAGCUGGCUGCAACUGUUUAUUAAAAACACAGCACUGUGCAAACACGAAAGUGGACGUAUACGGUGUGACGCCUGCCCGGUGCCGGAAGGUUAAUUGAUGGGGUCAGCGCAAGCGAAGCUCUUGAUCGAAGCCCCGGUAAACGGCGGCCGUAACUAUAACGGUCCUAAGGUAGCGAAAUUCCUUGUCGGGUAAGUUCCGACCUGCACGAAUGGCGUAAUGAUGGCCAGGCUGUCUCCACCCGAGACUCAGUGAAAUUGAACUCGCUGUGAAGAUGCAGUGUACCCGCGGCAAGACGGAAAGACCCCGUGAACCUUUACUAUAGCUUGACACUGAACAUUGAGCCUUGAUGUGUAGGAUAGGUGGGAGGCUUUGAAGUGUGGACGCCAGUCUGCAUGGAGCCGACCUUGAAAUACCACCCUUUAAUGUUUGAUGUUCUAACGUUGACCCGUAAUCCGGGUUGCGGACAGUGUCUGGUGGGUAGUUUGACUGGGGCGGUCUCCUCCUAAAGAGUAACGGAGGAGCACGAAGGUUGGCUAAUCCUGGUCGGACAUCAGGAGGUUAGUGCAAUGGCAUAAGCCAGCUUGACUGCGAGCGUGACGGCGCGAGCAGGUGCGAAAGCAGGUCAUAGUGAUCCGGUGGUUCUGAAUGGAAGGGCCAUCGCUCAACGGAUAAAAGGUACUCCGGGGAUAACAGGCUGAUACCGCCCAAGAGUUCAUAUCGACGGCGGUGUUUGGCACCUCGAUGUCGGCUCAUCACAUCCUGGGGCUGAAGUAGGUCCCAAGGGUAUGGCUGUUCGCCAUUUAAAGUGGUACGCGAGCUGGGUUUAGAACGUCGUGAGACAGUUCGGUCCCUAUCUGCCGUGGGCGCUGGAGAACUGAGGGGGGCUGCUCCUAGUACGAGAGGACCGGAGUGGACGCAUCACUGGUGUUCGGGUUGUCAUGCCAAUGGCACUGCCCGGUAGCUAAAUGCGGAAGAGAUAAGUGCUGAAAGCAUCUAAGCACGAAACUUGC